rnacentral:lncRNA from 1 species
AUGUCAAAACCCCUUAUUCAAUAAUUAUGACAUGGAGGAGGACAGAUCAGUACAUUCCAAUCCUUUUCCUAUAUGUGGUCGUCAUGGUGCACAACGCCAUCACAAUCAUCAUGCCGAGGAUAGAGACCAUGAUCGUCACCCAGACCUAUGAUUGGAAUCAUUGUUUAAAUUCAAAUACCGGAGUUCCAUGGUGGACCACAUGGAUAAGCUUUUUUGGAUUGCAACAGUGGAUGAGUUAUUAGAAUUCAAACAAGUAACGAAAGAAAAACGUGUUUCUCUCGACGCUAUGAAAUU